UUUCCACCUUGGUAAAAGUGGUAACCCGAACUCGGCAACCUAUUUUUCUUUAUAUCUCUGUAUUAUAUGAAUUCUUGAAUGGACACUCAGACUUCGUUUGAAGAAAAUCAUCUUUCAUAUUAAAACACAAAGAUUUUUUUCCAAGCUGUAUAAAACAUAACGAUUUAUUUCAUUUCUAAGCGAAUAGGUGGAAAACCGAACCCGAAAGGGAGACCACUCGUUUUUUUAAUAGAAUGCGCAGGAAAAUGACGGAAUAAAACUGUAUCGGAUUCCGGAUGGACUUUGGUAUAAACCCGGGCUCUUGAAAAAUUUUAACAACGUCGGUGGUAAUAGGACUAUUGUCCGAAAAAAAACAGUAAAAAUAACAAAAAGAC
rnacentral:lncRNA from 1 species